AGCGAACGCUGGCGGCAGGCCUAAUACAUGCAAGUCGAACGGUUCCUUCGGGAACAGUGGCGGACGGGUGAGUAACACGUGGGAACGUGCCCUUUGGUACGGAACAACUGAGGGAAACUUCAGCUAAUACCGUAUGUGCCCUUCGGGGAAAGAUUUAUCGCCAUUGGAGCGGCCCGCGUUGGAUUAGGUAGUUGGUGAGGUAAAGGCUCACCAAGCCUACGAUCCAUAGCUGGUCUGAGAGGAUGAUCAGCCACACUGGGACUGAGACACGGCCCAGACUCCUACGGGAGGCAGCAGUAGGGAAUCUUGCGCAAUGGGCGAAAGCCUGACGCAGCCAUGCCGCGUGAAUGAUGAAGGUCUUAGGAUUGUAAAGCCCUGUCGGGAGGGACGAAUCAAUGACGGUACCUCCCAAGAAAGCACCGGCUAACUCCGUGCCAGCAGCCGCGGUAAUGUAGUCGUG
rnacentral:rRNA from 1 species